UAAUGUUUUGGUUCUUGGUCACCACAACAUGAGGAAUGUAUUGAAGGGUCUCAGCAUUUGGAAGGCUGAGAACCACUAGUAGAGAAAGGACAGUUAGACCAGUUCCAGGAGCCAGACAAGAGGGGAGGGGAAGAGAGGAUAGUGACUUUUAGGCAACAGAAACUGCUAAGUGGGGUGCAAACAGAGUAGCACAAAGGCUCCUCGGGCUAGAAGCACAGCAGGAUCCCGAAUAGGAGGGGCCAUCCUAGAGGCCAUUUUCUUAUAGCUGAGAAGUGGGAAAAGAGGGGAUGUGCCUGCUGGUCCCUCCUGCCUAACAGGAGUUAAAUUCAUCGGGAGUAAACUGGAAAUUAGAAAGAUUUAACAAAACUAACUGAUGGUCUUUUGUAGAAGGAUACCGUUGUGGGGGCUGAGGAUGUAGCUCUAGUGUGAGGUUUGGUCUGCUGCUAUGUAUUGUAAUGCUGAACACUGGCCCCCACCAAGCUCAGUUGCCUCAAGGAUCAGAGAAUCUUCCUGCUGACUCAGGUGACACUGUGUGACCUGCCCCCCAAGUUAUCCCUGAUUGGUACCCUGGCUGUAUCAGAGCAGAGUAAGCAGAAGAUGGAGAACUCGGCUCCUCCAGCACCACGCCUGCCUAGAUGCUGCCUGGAUGCUGCCUGGAUGCUGCCCUGCUCCCGCCUUGAUGAUAAUGGACUGACCCUCUGAACCUGGCAGGUGUGAAACCCAGUCUGUGAACAACCCUUGAGGUCCUCAUCUUGGCUUUGCUGGCAUCCAGCUCUUGCAGCUGCUCAUCCAGUUCCAUGAACAUCUCACGCUCCAGAUCCUCCCGACCUAACUAAGCGCUCUGCCCCCUCUCCAGAUGAGUCAUCUUCAAAGACUGUGAUCCAUAUUGGCUGUUCCUGAAAAACUCUUUGGCUGAGUGCUUUCCACAUAGCUCAGGUUGGUCUCAAAGUCAUGGCUAUCCUCCUGCCUCAGAUCCUCCAGUGACUGGAUUACAGGCAUGUGCCACAUGGCACAACUUGGCCUGUUGUUUUGUUUUGUUUUGUUUUUGGUACUGGGGAUUGAACCCAGACCUUUUUUGCACAUGCUAGCCAAGCAAUCUAUUCUUUUCUUUUUUAUGGAUGUGUGUGGUUACCUACGUAAGGAUGUGUGUGCAGGAGCGACAGAGGUCAGAAGAGAGCACCACAUCCCCUGGAACUGGAGUUACAGGCAGAUGCAAGCUGCCAUCUUGGUGCUGGAAAUAAAUAUGCAACUUCUAUAAGAGCAAAGAGAAAAGGAAACAGAAGUGGGGGCUGAUACAGAACUCCAACUCCUAUUAAUGGAUGCAAAGUACCCAGGAUGUCAUAAAAUGAGCCCAGUCUUCGGCCAUAAACAAAAGGCAGUCUUGUGUGUUGGCUGCUGCAUUGCCCUGUCAGCCUACAGAAGGAAAAGGAAGGCUGGCCGUUCCGCAGGACACAGCACUAAAAGCACCCUGGUUCAAGAUGAGUGGGAAGCCAUCCCAGUAAACACAUCAUGAAUUUAAAACAAAACAGCAUUACUUCAAAUGAGAUAAUUUUUAAAUAUAUAUUUUGAUGAAUUUGA
rnacentral:sRNA from 1 species